rnacentral:lncRNA from 1 species
AUGGCUCUUGUGAAUAGAGUCUCAGGUUUCUCUUCUUGUUCUGUUUCAUCCCAUUUUGGGAAAGCUAAGACCUUUGGGCUUAACCCCAUUUGCUCUCUCAAUUGCACCUCUUCUUCUUCUUCUUCUUCUUCUUCUUCUUCUUCUUCUUCUUCUUCGCCCUUCACUGAGAAGCAUUCCGUUGAGAGGUACCAGAGGGACAGUUGGGUGUACAAUACCCAGGUGGAGGAUGCCUCCUCAUGGAAUCUC